AUUGAACGCUGGCGGCAGGCCUAACACAUGCAAGUCGAGCGGAUGAAGGGAGCUUGCUCCUGGAUUCAGCGGCGGACGGGUGAGUAAUGCCUAGGAAUCUGCCUGGUAGUGGGGGAUAACGUCCGGAAACGGGCGCUAAUACCGCAUACGUCCUGAGGGAGAAAGUGGGGGAUCUUCGGACCUCACGCUAUCAGAUGAGCCUAGGUCGGAUUAGCUAGUUGGUGGGGUAAAGGCCUACCAAGGCGACGAUCCGUAACUGGUCUGAGAGGAUGAUCAGUCACACUGGAACUGGGACACGGUCCAGACUCCUACGGGAGGCAGCAGUGGGGAAUAUUGGACAAUGGGCGAAAGCCUGAUCCAGCCAUGCCGCGUGUGUGAAGAAGGUCCUCGGAUUGUAAAGCACUUUAAGUUGGGAGGAAGGGCAGUAAGUUAAUACCUUGCUGUUUUGACGUUACCAACAGAAUAAGCACCGGCUAACUUCGUG
rnacentral:rRNA from 1 species